AUGGAUAACUCCCAAACUAGGCGAGGAAAACCAUGUUGGUAUAGGCUUCCAGAGGUUGGCCUCAUUGCUAUAAAUGAUGGACUUGUCCUGCGCAGCCAAAUAUCACGGAUCUUCAAGCGUUAUUUUCAUGGGAAACCUUACUAUGUCGACUUUAAGACGACUUCUGGCGAGUUGUUAGACCAAAUUACAACAAGUGAAGGACAGAAAGAUCUGAGCAAAUACACUGUAGAUGUUUACAGGCGCAUUGUAGAAUACAAAACAGCUUACUAUUCAUUCUAUUUGCCGGUCGGUUGUGCACUGCUGUUGUCCGGUGGGAGUUUGGAUGAUUAUGUUCAAGUGAAGCAUAUCCUAGUUGAAAUGGGUAUUUACUUCCAAAUUCAGGACGAUUAUCUCGACUGUUUUGGUGAUCCAGAAGUUAUGGGCAAGAUUGGAACCGAUAUCGAAGACUUCAAGUGCUCUUGGCUGUUUGUUCAAGCACUAGUGCGGGUCGAUGAGAGGCAAAAAGACAUCUUAUUUGAAAAUUAUGGGAAAUCAGAUCCUGCUUGUGUUGCAAAAGUGAAGGCGCUGUAUAAAGAGCUCAAUCUGGAGGUGGUGUUCUCUGAGUAUGAAAGGGAGAUUUACGAAAAGCUGAUAUCAGACAUCGAAGCACAACCGAAUGAAGCUGUGCAAGCAGUGUUGAAAUCCUUUUUGCAUAAAAUCUACAGAAGGAUGAAGUAG
rnacentral:rRNA from 1 species